GGAAGGUGGGGAUGACGUCAAGUCAUCAUGGCCCUUACGGCCAGGGCUACACACGUGCUACAAUGGUCGGUACAAAGGGUUGCCAAGCCGCGAGGUGGAGCCUAAUCCCAUAAAACCGAUCGUAGUCCGGAUCGCAGUCUGCAACUCGACUGCGUGAAGUCGGAAUCGCUAGUAAUCGUGAAUCAGAAUGUCCACGGUCGAAUACGUUCCCGGGCCUU
rnacentral:rRNA from 1 species